rnacentral:rRNA from 1 species
UGGGGAAUAUUGGACAAUGGGCGAAAGCCUGAUCCAGCCAUGCCGCGUGUGUGAAGAAGGUCUUCGGAUUGUAAAGCACUUUAAGUUGGGAGGAAGGGCAGUAAGCUAAUACCUUGCUGUUUUGACGUUACCGACAGAAUAAGCACCGGCUAACUCCGUGCCAGCAGCCGCGGUAAUACAGAGGGUGCAAGCGUUAAUCGGAAUUACUGGGCGUAAAGCGCGCGUAGGUUGUUUGUUAAGUUGGAUGUGAAAGCCCCGGGCUCAACCUGGGAACUGCAUCCAAAACUGGCAGGCUAGAGUACGGUAGAGGGUGGUGGAAUUUCCUGUGUAGCGGUGAAAUGCGUAGAUAUAGGAAGGAACACCAGUGGCGAAGGCGACCACCUGGACUGAUACUGACACUGAGGUGCGAAAGCGUGGGGAGCAAACA